AUUGAACGCUGGCGGCAGGCCUAACACAUGCAAGUCGAGCGGAGCGGCGGACGGGAGCGUAAUGCCUAGGAAUAUGCCUGGUGGUGGGGGAUAACGUACAGAAACGGGCGCUAAUACCGCAUACUAUCAGAUGAGCCUAGGUCGGAUUAGCUAGUUGGGGGGGUAAAGGCAUACCAAGGCGACGAGCCGGACGUGGUAUGAGGGGAUGAUCAGUCACACUGGAACGGGACCCCGGUCCAGCUUCCUACGGGAGGCAGCAUUGGGGAAUAUUGGACAAGGGGCGAAGGCCGGAGCCAGCCAGGCCGCGUGUGUGAAGAAGGUCUUCGGAUUGUAAAGCACUUUAAGUUGGGAGGCGUUACCAACAGAAUAAGCACCGGCUAACUUCGUGCCAGCAGCCGCGGUAAUUC
rnacentral:rRNA from 1 species